ensembl:lncRNA
CAGAAACCUAGUUACAAAACACAACAACUAGACUACAUGAAAAGGCAGAUGCCCUUUCUAGUUUUUAUUAGUUGUCAAUAAUACUUUUCUUUAAAAUAAUUUUUUUAAAAGUUAUAUAUUUAUUUGUCUGAAAUUUUAAUUUACUUUUGUUUCAGAUAACAUUGAAAGGACAGUCAAUGUUACGAUGGAAAUAAAUGAAAGUUUUACAGAUGACUUUAAAAACUCAUCAUCAGAUGCAUAUAAAAAUUUUGAGGAAAAAUUUAAUAGAACAGUAAGUAUCGUGGUUUAGAUUGCUUGAUCACUUAAAUAUUAUUGUCCAGAAACUUUGAGUGAUGAUGUGUCUGCAUACAUUUACAAAAAAAAAUCAUAUUUGCAUACAUUUACUAAAAAUUACCAGUUGAUUUAAAGUACAGUAAUUUAAGUGAAGUUAGUUAUGUUAGUUCUUAAAAAAGCUCUAACUUUUAAUCAUUUGUUUGCAGAUGCCUCUUUGUAUAAGUUGUUACCUUUGCAGUAUUUUUAAGUGACUUAAGUGUUCAAGACAUUCACAAACAAUAUUUUGGACCGCAAAGGUCAUAAUUUUUUGGCUUGAAAUAUUACAUAUAUAUUUUAUUCAAUUAUAGGUGGUAAAGUCUUAUGAAAAAAUAUCCACAUUUUUGCAUGUGGCCAACAUAAUUCUAAGGUAAUUCAUUUACUUUGACAGCACAAGCUAUUUUGUCAUUAUAUGUAUGCCCUUAUAAUGUCUGACUAUUAAGUCAUCUUAAUUUUGUUUUUUUUUUUCAUGUCAAAGUGCUGGUGGACCAUUACAAAAUAGUCAAAGAAGAAAAAGAAGUUUGUCUUUAAAGGAAACUAACAGGGAAACGGCUAGUCUGAAAGUUGAGCAUGAUGUCCUUCUUGACAUUGAAAAUAGCAAAGAAAACCAAAAUACUUAUGAAAAUAGUGUCAAUAAAGUGAGAGACGCUCUUGUUGACAUAAAAAACAAUCCAGGUAGGUCAUCAUAUGCAUUUUCCCUGUGAUCUAAAUGGUCAUUUGUCUACA